rnacentral:rRNA from 1 species
GACGAACGCUGGCGGCGUGCCUAAUACAUGCAAGUAGAACGCUGAAGGAGGAGCUUGCUUCUCUGGAUGAGUUGCGAACGGGUGAGUAACGCGUAGGUAACCUGCCUGGUAGCGGGGGAUAACUAUUGGAAACGAUAGCUAAUACCGCAUAAUAGUAGAUGUUGCAUGACAUUUGCUUAAAAGGUGCAAUUGCAUCACUACCAGAUGGACCUGCGUUGUAUUAGCUAGUUGGUGGGGUAACGGCUCACCAAGGCGACGAUACAUAGCCGACCUGAGAGGGUGGUCGGCCACACUGGGACUGAGACACGGCCCAGACUCCUACGGGAGGCAGCAGUAGGGAAUCUUCGGCAAUGGACGGAAGUCUGACCGAGCAACGCCGCGUGAGUGAAGAAGGUUUUCGGAUCGUAAAGCUCUGUUGUAAGAGAAGAACGAGUGUGAGAGUGGAAAGUUCACACUGUGACGGUAUCUUACCAGAAAGGGACGGCUAACUACGUG